UACGUAGGGUGCAAGCGUUAAUCGGAAUUACUGGGCGUAAAGCGUGCGCAGGCGGUGAUGUAAGACAGGUGUGAAAUCCCCGGGCUUAACCUGGGAACUGCAUUUGGUGACUGCAUUGCUGGAGUAGUGGCAGAGGGGGGUGGAAUUCCGCGUGUAGCAGUGAAAUGCGUAGAGUAUGCGGAGGAACACCGAUGGCGAAGGCAGCCCCCUGGGCCAAUACUGACGCUCAUGCACGAAAGCGUGGGGAGCAAACAGG
rnacentral:rRNA from 1 species